rnacentral:rRNA from 1 species
UACAGAGGUCCCAAGCGUUGUUCGGAUUCACUGGGCGUAAAGGGUGCGUAGGUGGUGGGGUAAGUCGGAUGUGAAAGCUCGGAGCUCAACUCCGAAAUGGCAUUGGAAACUACCCUGCUAGAGGAUUGGAGGGGGGACUGGAAUACUUGGUGUAGCAGUGAAAUGCGUAGAUAUCAAGUGGAACACCAGUGGCGAAGGCGAGUCCCUGGACAAUACCUGACACUGAGGCACGAAAGCUAGGGGAGCGAACGGG